UACGUAGGUGGCAAGCGUUGUCCGGAUUUACUGGGCGUAAAGAGCGCGCAGGCGGUCGUUCAAGUCGCGUGUGAAAGCCCCCCGGCUCAACUGGGGAGGGUCAUUCGAUACUGAUCGACUCGAAGGCAGGAGAGGGUAGUGGAAUUCCCGGUGUAGUGGUGAAAAUGCGUAGAUAUCGGGAGGAACACCAGUGGCGAAGGCGACUACCUGGCCUGUUCUUGACGCUGAGGCGCGAAAGCUAGGGGAGCAAACGGGG
rnacentral:rRNA from 1 species